CGAACAGCAUUAAACUUGAGACAAAAAGAAGAAGAAGAACGAAGGAAAAAUCGUGAAAGAGCAAAAGCGUGCCGAGAGCGAAUAAAAAAUAAUCCUGAACUAUAUUUACAACGGCGAUUACAAGAGAGAGAUAGGAGUAGGAGGCGAAGACAGGAGGGCAAAAUAAAAAAAAUAUCUGAAAUGACAAAGAAAGAAAGGGAAGCUCAACGAGAGGUGUGGAGGAAAAAAAAGAAAAAACAAAGAGGAAUAUUGAAUGAGGAAAAAUUUGUUGUAUUUCAAUGACAAUAACACACCUCUGCAGUCGUCUCAACCGGGACUAUUGAACGAUGCUGUAGUCAACCCAAAGUCAAAUGAAGGGAGAGGUAAAAAAAAAUACUACUAAUAAAAAGACCUAGCUAGAAAAAAAAGAAACAACAGGAUUGUUAGAAUGGAGAGAAUAAGGAGUGCAGUACAAACAUUUGACAAAGAUGAUAGCAACUUUGUCCAAACCCCUGGUAAAAGACAGACUAUUACAAGAAAGAAUGUUAAGAAACAAAAGAGGUUCCUCUUUGGCUGUAAUGUAAGUUAUGUUAUAAUGUAUAAUGUAAGCUCCAUGCCAAGUUUGUCAAGGAGAUUAGUUACUCACAUUUUAGAAAACUGAAACCAUUUUGGAUCAUGGCCCCCAAGGAAAGCGCCAGGGACACUUUCAAAUGUGUAAACACACAAACUUCGAGCUCAUGUUAAAGCUGUUGUUUAGACAAGAUAUUGAACUUAAACUCCACAGAAAAGGCUCUCUCAAGCAUUAAUUGUAAGUUCAUGAAAAUGUAUGUACGGUGAAUGCAAGAAAUGCAAAACAAACAAAAAAUCGGCAAAGAAUACAUCAAUUUGGAAAAUUUCUAACAUGACAUGUCAUACUUGGUAUAGGAAAGACGAAAAAUUGAAAAGCGUCAACAGAAAGGAUUGAAAAUUAAUAAUGAGGGAACAGAAAACAAAAACAAAGUUAAAGGGAAAACAAGUAUAAUCGUCUUAAAAGAAAAAGUACGAACCUCAGAACUUGAACUGUUAGACGAAGUUAAAUUUUGCAUUCAUGUGUACAACCGCUUCCACCAAAGAAAGUUUUUUAAAGACUGCAAGACAAUUUUAAUGGCAAAUGAAGCUAUUGUAAGAAUAGACUGGAGUGAGAAUAUGCGUGAAGGUAUGGCAAAGAAAUACAAAGCAUGCAUUUUGGCGGUUCCUAGCAGCAUAUUUCCUUACAUACUGGAGUCCUGUACACUUCUGAAGGGGAAGAAAAACUUGGAAGAUUUUCAUUCUGUAUAAUUUCCGAUAACCCAUACCACGGGCCAUCAGCAAUCUGGGCUAACUUGUCACCAGUCCUGGAAUUUGUAAAAGAAAAAUAUCUUCAGUUGUUAUUUUACAUUUCUUCUCCGAUGAACCGACAACACAAAAUAGGAACAAGGAAAACUUUGAUCUAAUAUCGAAGAGAGCUUCUGAGUCACAACUUCUGGAACCUGUUGUGGAACUUCAGCGAGGCUGAACAUGGCAAAGGGCCUGCAGACGCCAUAGGAGGAAUCGUAAAAGAACAAGAUUCUGUUUUUUAAAACAAAACGAUAUUAUCAUUGUUGAAACUUUUCAACAAUCUGUAUCUUUCCUUAAAGUCAAAACAUGGAGUGUAGACAGUUUAAAAAUCUCCAACUAUUCCAGCAGACCUCGAGGCUAUACCAAGCACUAUGAAAAUCCAUCAGAUGACGUGGUCUAGUCCAAACCCCCAACUUGGGACCAGAAUGCUAUCAUGCUAAUUAUGCACUGCAAGCUUACGCUGUCCACACUAUGCACUAGAGUCCGGAAUGUUCGACCAAGAAUGCAGUGGUGAUACAAUAUCCUCCAAAGAUACAACACAGAUUAUAGGUAAUGGUCAAUAAAGAUCCAUCCACAUCGGAACCAGCGGAAAUAAAUCAAGUGAUUAAUAAUGGCAUAGAGGCAGUUAUGGUCACCCAAACAAUUCAGAUUGGCAGAUGAAUCGUGGCUAUCUACGGAGACACUUGGUAUCCUGGGGAGGUACAAAACAUAGAUGACCAACUUCUGGAAAGAUAUUUCAUGUGAAAAUCUUUCACAUUCUUUAUGUGGCCUUCAAAGCCAGACAAACAAAUGCUCGACAAAAAGAAGGAGUGCUAUGCCGGCUGAAGAACCCUAUCAAAGUCACGUCAAGGCUUUAUAAAUUCAAAGGGGCUGAGCAAUUUGAUAAUUUACGUUCAACUUACUCAUAUGUAGACUAAGUUUGUUGUACUUAUCACGUUUGAAAAUGAUGGAGGGUUAAAAAGACGCAAUCCAGAAUCCACCUUAUUAAUAUUAUUUGAAUGUAAUUGUUUUUUAGCGUACUUUUUGAAAUGGCGAUUUUUCCCUUUUAUUAACUUGACAGUACUGUAGUUAGCAAAUUAUUUAAAAUUUACCUAAUGUAAAAUCUGUUUCCUUUUUGGUUUUUAUCGAGUUGAUGUAUUUAAGUUUUUAUUUAUUAUACCAUACAAUUA